GAUGAGCGCUGGCGGCGUGCCUAAUACAUGCAAGUCGAGCGAACGGACGAGAAGCUUGCUUCUCUGAUGUUAGCGGCGGACGGGUGAGUAACACGUGGAUAACCUACCUAUAAGACUGGGAUAACUUCGGGAAACCGUAGCUAAUACCGGAUAAUAUUUUGAACCGCAUGGUUCAAAAGUGAGAGACGGUCUUGCUGUCACUUAUAGAUGGAUCCGCGCUGCAUUAGCUAGUUGGUAAGGUAACGGCUUACCAAGGGAACGAUGCAUAGCCGACCUGAGAGGGGGAUCGGCCACACUGGAACUGAGACACGGUCCAGACUCCUACGGGAGGCAGCAGUAGGGAAUCUUCCGCAAUGGGCGAAAGCCUGACGGAGCAACGCCGCGUGAGUGAUGAAGGUCUUCGGAUCGUAAAACUCUGUUAUUAGGGAAGAACAUAUGUGUAAGUAACUGUGCACAUCUUGACGGUACCUAAUCAGAAAGCCACGGCUAACUACGU
rnacentral:rRNA from 1 species